rnacentral:rRNA from 1 species
UAGGGAAUCUUCGGCAAUGGACGAAAGUCUGACCGAGCAACGCCGCGUGAGUGAAGAAGGCCUUCGGAUCGUAAAACUCUGUUGUUAGAGAAGAACAAGGACGUUAGUAACUGAACGUCCCCUGACGGUAUCUAACCAGAAAGCCACGGCUAACUACGUGCCAGCAGCCGCGGUAAUACGUAGGUGGCAAGCGUUGUCCGGAUUUAUUGGGCGUAAAGCGAGCGCAGGCGGUUUCUUAAGUCUGAUGUGAAAGCCCCCGGCUCAACCGGGGAGGGUCAUUGGAAACUGGGAGACUUGAGUGCAGAAGAGGAGAGUGGAAUUCCAUGUGUAGCGGUGAAAUGCGUAGAUAUAUGGAGGAACACCGGUGGCGAAGGCGGCUCUCUGGUCUGUAACUGACGCUGAGGCUCGAAAGCGUGGGGAGCAAACAGG